UUUUUCCUACCCGUGUAGCUUCCCCUGUCUCUUCCCCUCGCCGCUUGAUCCCCUUUGUCAUUUCGAACACUACCACGGAAUAGAGGCGAGUGAGAGAGAUUGUCAUGGCGAUUUGGAGCUCCCCCUCGCCGCUCGAUCCAGCUGGUUGGUGGUGACUUGUCCGUGCUCUCCCUCCCUCUGCCUCGCCCCCUCCGCCUCGCCGCUGUUUCUCCCGCCGAAGGCCUGCAGCAUCUCUCGCCCCCCUCAUCCACCCCGGCCCCAUUAUUUCGCCACCCGUCGAUUUUGUUCGUCUGAUUUGGUAUGUUCCCUCUCUUUUGUUUGUUUCUCAGAUCUGCAUGUCAGUGCCUGUGGACUGUGGGUUUCUAUCUGUUGCUUGUGUUAAUCUCCUGCAGCCUCUGGUGUAGAUGUGUGAGGUUGCGCCUGUUUCUCCGAUUGAUACUCAUCAGCCAUGCGAAUUUGAUUAGUGUUUCUGGCUACUUGUUAGUUUGAUUGAUCUGUAUGUGUGACUCACCCGCGUCAGCGGACAGCGAGUCGCCUGAACCUGAUGAUCCAGGCGAUGGCGCAGGCAGCCAGCAUGGUGGCAGAGGGUGAAGCCUCGAGUGGGUGUGGUGGGCUGACUAGUGUGCCCACGUGACAGUGUGUGUGUGUGUGUGUGCUCUGUAUAUUAGUUGGACAUGCAUGAGUUAAGUCUGAAGUCUGAACCUUCUCUGUUCUCUGAACCUCUCCCAACUUUCCUCUCCAUCCUCUGUUUGAUUGAUCUGUACGCGGUAUUGUGCAAUUUGAACAUAGUGAAUCGUGUUUAGUCCCCUGCUGUCCAGUGUUGUUAGUUAGUAUGUCUAUGUGUUAAUUUUCACCUGGGCCGUUUUUGUUGUCACUGUGUGGAUGCAUGGUUGGUCCCCUCGCCUUGGGAUUGUCUCUGUAAUUCUCAAUGGAUUUACUGUGUAAUUCCUAUUGGAUUUGCAAUGUAAUUCCUGUUUGGUUUUACAGUGUAAAUCCACAGUGUAAUUCCUAGUGGAUUUACACUGUACUUCUCAUUGGCUUUACACUGUAAUUUUCAUUGGAUUUGCACUGUAACUGUCAUUAGAUCUGCAGUUGGUUUAGAAUGUAAUUCCUAUUGGUUUUCAGUGUAAUUCCUACUGGGUUUAGAGUGUAAUCCUAUUGGUUUUUCAGUGUAAUUUUUAUUUGGUUUCGCAG
rnacentral:lncRNA from 1 species